rnacentral:rRNA from 1 species
GACGAACGCUGGCGGCGUGCUUAACACAUGCAAGUCGAGCGGUAAGGCCCUUUCGGGGGUACACGAGCGGCGAACGGGUGAGUAACACGUGGGUGACCUGCCCUCAGCUCUGGGAUAAGCCUGGGAAACCGGGUCUAAUACCGGAUAUGACUCCAUGACGCAUGUUGUGGGGUGGAAAGCCUUGUGCGGCUGAGGAUGGGCCCGCGGCCUAUCAGCUUGUUGGUGGGGUNAUGGCCUACCAAGGCGACGACGGUAGCCGGCCUGAGAGGGCGACCGGCCACACUGGGACUGAGACACGGCCCAGACUCCUACGGGA